UGUGAAAUGAUGCCUUGUACAGGCAAUGCUAUCUGCAACUAGAUAUGGGAGUCAUUAAAUCUCCUUUUGGAGAUUUGGAGACAUGGGAGUCAGAAGCUCACAUCCUGCAGUGACUGGCCACAGAGGGGAGACCUGGACCACACAUUCACAGAGGGUGACAUAUAACACGGCCAGAUCUUCCCCGGCAGGCAGACAUUUUUGGCUGGCUGGCAAAAAUGAAAGUCAUAAGUUUUGGGACCAGUGAAGUCGAUACUCCACUGAAAGAAAGUUUCAGAGAACGGGUCUUUCUCAGGGGAAGGGCAGAGAUCCUGGUGCCCUGCAGAGCUGGAGUCCCGGCGGUGGAGGCACCCUGGCUCACCAGUCCCUUUGAUAACCCAGGCAGAAGUUGCAGCUUCUCCAAAAGCAUGCAGACGAGCCCAGCGAGGACGGAGCAGCCCGGCAAAUCGCUGCCUGCAGCAGGGACCGGUCAGGCGGUCUCAGGAACGGAGAACAUGGCUGGCUCAGGACACGGAGCUGCCGGGUUGGAGUUAUGCAGCUGAAGCAUGAAAUGAGCCAAUGCUGAACGCGUGAUGAGAGGAGAAGGGUUUUUUCCUGAGAGUAGACUAUCGGCGGGGUUCAGCCGGGAGUGGAAGGAAUAAAGGAAAGGCUACACAUAAUUCA
rnacentral:lncRNA from 1 species